UACGGGGGGGGGUAAGCGUUGUUCGGAAUUACUGGGCGUAAAGGGCGCGUAGGCGGCGCAACAAGUCACUUGUGAAAUCUCCGGGCUUAACCCGGAGCGGUCAAGUGAUACUGUCGUGCUAGAGUGCGGAAGGGGCUACUGGAAUUCUCGGUGUAGCGGUGAAAUGCGUAGAUAUCGAGAGGAACACCGGCGGCGAAAGGCGGCCAACUGGACGAAACACUGAC
rnacentral:rRNA from 1 species